UCUGACGUGUGCUACAUCAGAGCGCUGGGGGACUAUAUAUGAGCCCUGCAAGCACAUACAAGCCGCUCAGGCCAUUAGGGGAAGACCGUGCGCACACUAGCUGAGAUUAAAGCUGCCUCUCUUCACCUUCCAUUGAGGAUUUGAGUGUUCAUUAACACUCUCCCUUCGGAGACAAAAUAAGAGACUGCCGAUUUGGCUCAUUCACCAGGUGGCAAAUAUUAUAUCGCUGUGUGCGCUAGCUUAUUAUCGGCUUCCCCAACUAUAUCCAUGCUAUUGAAAAUUUUCCCAUAUUGUUUUAUAUACAUACGUUUCCCUGAGGAAGCCCGAAUGGGCGAAACAUGUAGGAAGAACUGUAAAUAACAUUAUAUAAAUCAACCAAUGGUGAAAUUAAAUCUUUCAUAUGAUCAUGUUUUUUA